UACGUAGGGUGCGAGCGUUGUCCGGAAUUAUUGGGCGUAAAGAGCUUGUAGGCGGUUUGUCGCGUCUGCUGUGAAAAUCCGGGGCUCAACCCCGGACUUGCAGUGGGUACGGGGCAGACUAGAGUGUGGUAGGGGGAGACUGGAAUUCCUGGUGUAGCGGUGAAAUGCGCAGAUAUCAGGAGGAACACCGAUGGCGAAGGCAGGUCUCUGGGCCACUACUGACGCUGAGAAGCGAAAGCAUGGGGAGCGAACAGG
rnacentral:rRNA from 1 species